rnacentral:ncRNA from 1 species
CAACAGUUUUGGUCCUGGGCUAACCGUUGUUUUUUAUUAAGUUUAUACAUGCAAGUUUCAACACACCAGUGAAAAUGCCCACAAUCCCUAAAAAGAGGGCCGGAGCGGACAUCAGGCACCACUAUGAGCCCACAACGUCUUGUUAUACCACACCCACACGGGUAAUCAGCAGUAAUAAAUAUUGAACCAUAAGUGAAAACUUGAUUCAACUAUAAUUCAACUAAGGGCUGGUUAAUUUCGUGCCAGCCACCGCGGUUAUACGAAAAGCCCAAAACAACGACCAACGGCGUAAAAUGUGAUUAGAGUUUUAUAUACCAAAAAUAUUUAAACCUGCUGCCCAGUUGUAAAAUACUCAAAGGAAGCAGAGAAAACCCCACACAAAUAUUUUUUAAUUAUAUUCUUGAAUCCACGAAAGCUUAGAAACAAACUAGGAUUAGAUACCCUACUAUGCUAAGCACUAAACAGAGGAAUACUAUACAGCAUCCUCCGCCAGAGAACUACAAAUGAAAAAUUUAAAACUCAAAGGACUUGACGGUGUCCCAUAUCAACCUAGAGGAGCCUGUCCUAUAAUCGAUAACCCCCGCUUCACCCUACCUUAACUAGCAUUCCCUCAGCCUAUAUACCGCCGUCGACAGCCUACCCCAUGAGGGCUUAAUAGUAGGCAAAAUAGCCUAACCGCUAAUACGUCAGGUCAAGGUGUAGCAAACGUUAAGGGAGAGAUUGGCUACAUUUUUUAAUAGUAAAAAAUACAAAAAGUACCAUGAAACAGUACAUGAAGGUGGAUUUAGUAGUAAAAUAAAUUAGAGCCUUUAUUUUAACACUGCUCUGGGACGCGUACACACCGCCCGUCACCCUCCUCAAAAACAACAACACACAUAUAUAAACAGAGACCCCAUACAGAGGAGGUAAGUCGUAACAUGGUAAGCGUACCGGAAGGUGUGCUUGGACUAA